rnacentral:lncRNA from 1 species
CUAAACACUUGCAGUGUCAGUGGUGCCAAAACUGUGCUGCUGGCUUGCAAUCAAAGCUGGGCUGUCACUCAGAACCAGUGCUCCAUGGCACACGUUCUCUCUGGCCCUGGCACCCAGCCAAAGAGUGGGCUUGAGUACAAAUGUCCUGGCAACAGCAGGCACCAGUCAACAAUUUCUGUCAAAGAGAUGUCAUUUCAUAUUUACCUUUUGUAUUUUAGACACCUUUUAAGCAUCUAGGUGACCCUUUCCUAAUAUUUCACAGGUGCAAAAUGAAAAGGGCAUGUUCUAAUUACUUUUUCAACCAAACUUGGAACUAAAGGAUCUCAGUUUCCUCAGACCUGUGGCCUAAAACAUUUGCUAUGGCACGUGUGACAGUCAUUCGUGUCCUGCUGAUAUUAAGCCUUUUCCAACAUAAGGCACUGUUUUCCACAAUCCUGGCAAGUGGAAAAGAACACAUAAAGGAUGCACUUAGGCUGCAUAAUGCUCUGUGGACCACCAAGGAUGAUUCAAGAGUUAUUUUGUCCUGGAACAAUAACCUGACAAAAGAAGAAACCAAGAAAUACACUGUGAAGUAUAUUUUGAUUUAUAAGUUCUUCAAUACCACUAAGGAAAGGAAAGAAAGACUGCAGGAGAAGGAAAAGAUAAUACAUCUUCAAUUACACUCUGGUUUUAAUGCUAAAGUUAAGACACAACUUUUUGCAAAAGAAACAGAAGACAUAAUUAAGGAGAGUGACUGGACAGAAUUUACUUACAA